rnacentral:snRNA from 1 species
GUGUCAUUUCAGCAGCACAUAUACAAAAUUGGAACAAUACAGAGAAGAUUAGCAUGCCCCUGUGCAUCAGGACACAAGAAAAAAAAAAGAAUAUU